UUUCGUUGGUGUUCAGAGACUGCGGCGAAGUGGGACUCUCUUCCCUGGAGGCGUUCGUGAGCUGUAUUUAGAGAAAACACAAAGAACUCAAGAAGUUGGUCCAAAAGGCGGUUGUGGGGCGUUAGACCACUUGACAUAACAGCGCAGGAUCCGCACUGCGUUCCUAGCUGGCCUGCUGUCUGCUCUAAGGGCUGUUGCGGCGCCUCGUGGACCGGCUCUCCUCUCUGCGUUGGAAGCUGCGGUACGGCUGUAUCUCCGGUGACCAUCGCGGCCAGGAAACGACCACCCCUGCCUACAGACGUGAGACGAAACAGGAGAUGAGGAUUGUAAGAAUAGAAGCAAACUUCAUCCCAGGAAGAUAAUCUAAACACCGAUUACCUCCCAUUCUCUAGAAGGAAGCUGCCAGAAGAAUUAAGCUGCUGGAAGAAUGGCAGAAGAAUAGAGCACAGAGAAGCAAUAAAAAAAUAGACAACUGCAUUACCACAUGAACUGAAAACGGAGAAGAAACGCAACGACUAGUCCAGCAAGUUUAUCGUUGGCCACAGCAGAAGAAACCACGUUUAACUGUCAG